CGCAUGUUAAUUCCCUGGUGGCCA
rnacentral:siRNA from 1 species